rnacentral:lncRNA from 1 species
GAAAAUGUAUAUUUUAGAGAGAGAAAGGAAAAGAUUGCGACUUGGAUGCUUGUUGAGCGUGGAGGGAGUAGUGAGCAGAGAAAAAUAGAGGCAGACGAUAGCAAAAGCAUUUCUUGAAGACAAAGCUCUCUCUUUCUCCUUCUUCUACCAAGAACAUUUUAAAGCUUUCAACUUUCUCUGUCAAACCUCCGCAUCCACAUUUUCUCAUUCUUUAUUGCCUGCCCAUAUGACACCAUAUUUAUUUUCUAAUAAAAAUUAUAAUUGGUAGGUGGGUGCUAGAUAAGAGUUUUAUCCUCUCUUUUUUUUUCUUGAUCUGGAUUUUCUCCCGUUAAAUAUAGCCUAAAUCAGAUUUUGAGAGACGUCUUUCUCUUUCAAGCUCUCAAUGGUGUCUACAAGAGUCAAAUCCAAUGGAGUGGAGUUGAUACCCAAGAUUUUUGCUUUACGCCUGGCAAUAUAGAAGGAGUUGGGAAUUUGGGAUUUCACAGUGAGAAAGAAAGGGAAGAAAUCAAGUGACGACGAAGCCUGCAGUCCUUCAUGGGUAUGCUUUUGGGUUAGGGUUUGAGAGGAUCAGACAGCGAAGAUCGAAUUGGGGUGGCAGUAAAGAGUGGGGUUAGGGUUAGGGUUAGGGUUUUGUAAAGAGAAAUUGCUUGGGCUUUCAACUAGUCCAUUGUUGGGAAUAAGUUUUUUGAUUAAUCCAUAUAGGUAUGCAUAUGGGUUACUCAUUUCCCAGCCUCAAGAUUUUAUUCAAAAAUGUCGAAAAAUCUUCACAGCUCGUUUAAGUUUUUAACAAGAUGAAAACCCAGAUUUUUUUUCCAAGGAAUUUGGUGUUUAGAAAGAGAGAGAAAAUGAUUCAUGUAAAAGAAAGAAAUCAUCUUUCGAAGAGAGAGAUCAUAUUGUUUUUUGAUUGAUUUUGUUUUAUUAUUAUCUUGUAAGAUUUGAAAUUUUUUAUUGAUUUGCAAUCAAAACUGUAAUUUUUAAAAAAUUCAGUAAAUAAAUAUAAUUGAAGUUAUAGAUUCAACCCAGCUAGUGGAUGAUAUAUGUAUAUUGAAUAAAUC